rnacentral:rRNA from 1 species
CAUAGCCUUCUGAAAUUUUAGGAGGUAGUGUCUGCCCAGUGUAAUAUUAUAAACGGCUGCAUUUGCAUUAAAGUAGCGUAAUAAUUUGUUCCUUUAUUGGGGACUUGUAUGAAUGGCAAAACGGGGCUCAACUGUCUCUGUUGGGAAAAGUAGAAUUUUCUGUUCAAGUGAAAAAGCUUGAAAAAAGGAAGAGGACGAGAAGACCCUAUAGAAUUUUAUAAUAUGAAGAGUUUUAAAAAUUCUUAAUUAUUUUGUUGGGGCAACAAAGGAGAGUUACUCCUAUAUAAUUAUUUAUAAUAGUAAAUUAAAAAUGACCCUAAAAUAGAAAUAAGAAAAAUUACCUUAGGGAUAACAGCGUAAUAUCUCCCAGAGAGACCUAAUUGAAGGGAGAGUUUGCGACCUCGAUGUUGGACUAAGAUAACUUUUAAGUGCAGCAGCUUAAUAAAGUAAGCCUGUCCGGCUUUUAAUA